AGCACCUCAAGUGGUCAGGAUGAUUAUUGGGCCUAAAGCAUCCGUAGCCGGCUCAGUAAGUUUCCGGUUAAAUCCAUUAGCUCAACUAAUGGCCUGCCGGAAAUACUGCAGAGCUAGGAAGUGGGAGAGGUAGACGGUACUCGGUAGGAAGGGGUAAAAUCCUUUGAUCUAUUGAUGACCACCUGUGGCGAAGGCGGUCUACCAGAACACGUUCGACGGUGAGGGAUGAAAGCUGGGGGAGCAAACCGG
rnacentral:rRNA from 1 species